CAGUAGCCGCGGUAAAACGGAGGGUGCAAGCGUUAAUCGGAAUUACUGGGCGUAAAGCGCACGCAGGCGGUCUGACAAGUCAGAUGUGAAAUCCCCGGGCUUAACCUGGGAACUGCAUUUGAAACUGUCAGGCUGGAGUCUUGUAGAGGGGGGUGGAAUUCCAGGUGUAGCGGUGAAAUGCGUAGAGAUCUGGAGGAAUACCGGUGGCGAAGGCGGCCCCCUGGACAAAGACUGACGCUCAGGUGCGAAAGCGUGGGGAGCAAACAGGAUUAGAUACCCCGGUAGUCCCUGUCUCUUAUAA
rnacentral:rRNA from 1 species